rnacentral:sRNA from 1 species
AUGAGGUCAGUUAGCUACGUGCAGCGCGUGGCGCUGGAGUUCAGCGGGAGCCUCUUCCCGCACGCAAUCUGCCUGGGCGACGUUGAUAACGAUACGUUAAAUGAACUGGUGGUGGGAGACACCAGCGGGAAGGUGUCUGUGUAUAAAAAUGAUGACAGUCGGCCAUGGCUCACCUGUUCCUGCCAGGGAAUGCUGACUUGCGUUGGGGUUGGAGACGUAUGUAAUAAAGGAAAGAACCUGUUGGUGGCAGUGAGUGCCGAAGGCUGGUUUCAUUUGUUUGACCUGACACCUGCCAAGGUGUUGGAUGCUUCUGGGCACCACGAGACACUAAUCGGAGAGGAGCAGCGUCCAGUCUUCAAGCAGCACAUCCCUGCCAACACCAAGGUCAUGCUGAUCAGCGACAUCGGUGGGCAUGCCUACCUUUGCAGGCAGCCAGGAGAGUAGGAGUCAGUGGAUACUAGAGCAGAUCCCAAGGGAUUGGGGUGAAGGGAGAAUCUGUAUUCAUUUAUGCAUUUGUUAUGUACUGAGCUCCCAUGAUAAGCCAGGCAUCACUGAAGGCACUGGAAUUGCCGUAGUGAAUAAAUAG